GCAUAAUUUUGUCACACUUCAAGUGGAUGCAUAUGAUGGUAUGCGAUCACACUACAACAACCUUAUUCUUUAAAUAUGUGUAACAAUUUUCCCGAAACAAUGUGCGCGGUACUACAGUGAUAUGGGAUACCACAACUGGGGCCAGUUUAUAUAAUACUACUGGUUGGACUGGUAGUUGUUGUACUUCACAGUUCAAGAUAUUUAAGACCGCGUUCUGGUUU